rnacentral:rRNA from 1 species
UACGGAGGAGGCAAGCGUUAUCCGGAAUUAUUGGGCGUAAAGCGUCCGCAGGUGGCACUUCAAGUCUGUCGUCAAAGACCGGGGCUUAACCCUGCAAAGGCGAUGGAAACUGAAAGGCUAGAGAGAGGUAGGGGUAGAGGGAAUUCCCAGUGUAGCGGUGAAAUGCGUAGAGAUUGGGAAGAACAUCGGUGGCGAAAGCGCUCUACUGGACCUCAUCUGACACUCAGGGACGAAAGCUAGGGGAGCGAAUGGG